GGAGCCAUGGGUAUCAGUUCUCCGGAGACUCCUCGGGCAGGGGAGAAGCCUUCAUCGAUUUACUCGUCUUCAUGCUUCCUGAAACGAGUGGGUUUUGUUUGUUUGUUUGAGUAGCAAAUAAGUGGAAGCAGCUUUAGGUAGAAAUCGCCGCAAAGUUCGGUCUCCAUUCCCGGAGAAGCCUCUGGUGUCCUGCGGGAGCUGCAAUCCUGCUAGGUUAGGGUCUGAUGCCUCAAAAUGAGUCAGAAGAUUGGUGGAUGGGUCCUGGCAUCCCUUUCUCAUGGCUGCAGAGCAGAUGGGCACAUACCCAGGAGGUCAGAGAAGAGGAGACAGGAUGUCUGCACGUGCACCUCGUGCCAUGCCGAGUGUGAACUGGCUGCUCUCGUUUAACCACUCUGCCCAAGGACCUCUUCACCCAGGACACACUGUGAGGAGUAUGGAGUUACUAACAAACUGCUUCCUCUGGCCUGUGUUGAAAACCCUGAAGGAGUUCUGUUUAUCUGCACCACCUAGAUUUGAAGAUCAAGGUUUUUACUCAGCCCUGGAAGAUGCAGCCAUCUUCAAAAGGCCUUGAUCUUGCUGCUGCACUCGUGUGGCAGGUGGGAUGACCUCUUGCUCUUUGUGGCUGCCUGUGAAAUCCAAGGGGCUGUUUUAGCAUUUACUUCACUUUCCUUGCCUGUUCCUGGGUCACAACAUGAAGAGGUAAAGCACCUCUUGCUGAUCUCCCCACCAUCAGAACGGUUUAGUGUUUUUAUUUGUUUAUUUUUGCUUCCUUGUGAUAUAUAAAGGCAACCUGGAAAAUUAACUCUGCUCCUAUAUAAACUGUUCUAUUUGCACCUGGACCGGGUUGCUCCAAGCCCCACCCAGCCUGGUCUCGAGCACUUCCAGGGCUGGGGAGUCAUAACCACUG
rnacentral:lncRNA from 1 species